rnacentral:rRNA from 1 species
AGAGUUUGAUUCUGGCUCAGGAUGAACGCUAGCUACAGGCUUAACACAUGCAAGUCGAGGGGCAGCAUGAACUUAGCUUGCUAAGUUGAUGGCGACCGGCGCACGGGUGAGUAACGCGUAUCCAACCUUCCCCCUGGUAGGGCAUAGCCCGGCGAAAGUCGGAUUAAUACCCUAUGUUCUCCUUCGAGAGCAUUUGACGAGGAGCAAAGAUUUAUCGCCAUGGGAUGGGGAUGCGUCCGAUUAGGCAGACGGCGGGUAACGGCCCACCGUGCCGGCGAUCGGUAGGGGUUCUGAGAGGAAGGUCCCCCACAUUGGAACUGAGACACGGUCCAAACUCCUACGGGAGGCAGCAGUGAGGAAUAUUGGUCAAUGGGCGUAAGCCUGAACCAGCCAAGUAAGCGUGCGGGACGACGGCCCUAUGGGUUGUAAACCGCUUUUGCAGGGGAAUAAAGUGCGGCACGCGUGCCGUUUUGCAUGUACCCUGAGAAUAAGGACCGGCUAAUUCCGUGCCAGCCGCCGC